UGUUUUCCAAAUGAGGACACUGAGGCUCAGGGAGCUGGGUGAUGUGUCAAAAGUUGCCCAGCUGCAGAGUGGCAAUGCUGGAAUUUGAAGCCAGGCUUUUCUGAUUCUGAAUUCCAUGUUUUCUUACUUGCCUUUUUCUUCUGCUCCAGCUUGCAGUGCCUCGGAGAGGUGGCGCUGGCUAGCCUGGGACUUCCAACAUACAGCCUACAUUGAUGGCCUGAGACUUGUGGCAAAAAAGACUUUCAAAAUCUAAUUUGCUCACAUACAUGAACACCUGCCAGGAAGGAAUUUGAGGCCUUUGUUCUAAACAUGGAAAAGCUGAGUUCAUUUGCCCCAGAGGGGGCACCUGCAGGGAAAAGGAAAAAUGGUUUUAACCCUUUCCUUGAGUCAGAAAAUGAGGCCACCAGAUUCUCCUUUCAUCCUUCAAGUAUCAGAAAGGUCUGUGCUGUGAAUUCCACAGAUGAGAUUCAUUGCAAGAUGUGAGGGCAGAGGAAAUCCAUGGAAAUGAAAUCCACAUUCAAACUGGAUGCAUGCGUUCAGCAACUGGAAGCUGAGUUCAUAUUUCAUUGCCCAACUACCCUGACCACUUGGGAAUCGCAGGUUUGGAAGGACCCACAGCCAUUCUGUGGAAAUGGAUCUGCUUUCAGGACCGAAUCUCAGACUUCUUGGGGAAGGUUUCAGUGGCUGCCUUUGCUGUGCAGACCUGGAGAUGGGUCUGAUGAUCGGACACCUGAAUUAUCUGUGUGGCUGAGUUUCAAGAAGACCUGCUGGGGUGAAAUGAAAAUGGUGCCUACUAGAAGCCCCAGUGGCUUUGCUGGUGGAGGUGAGCAUAGAUCCUAGAACUAUAUCCUGAUGCUUCUCACCAUGUGGUCAAGCUCUGGGUAGGCUAGCUUGCUCAUGUCCUCAUACAGAAGCAGAGAUGCAAGCAAGUGAGAAGGUGGAAGGACUCAGGUCUUGGGCCUUACUCUGAGAACUAUAACACCAUUCCUUCUGCUGCAUUCUCUUGUCUAAAGUAAGUUACAAGGCCAAUCCAGAUUCAAGGGCGGGGGAAACAGGCUUCACCUCUUGAUGAGAGAAGCUACAAAGUCACAUUACAAAGGGCAUGGCUACUGGAUUUGCUCCUCCACUGGCUCUUCUUGUAGACACACGACUGCUACAGUAUCAAGGGUCUGAUGCAGACAUGACAAUGUCAAGAGGAAGAGGAGAGCCUCGCUCUUCCCAGGCUUUUGCUUUUAAGAGCAGAAAAACUUUCCCCAGAGUUCCACCAGCUCACUUCUCAUCUUACUUCUUUGGCCAGAACUGGCCCUUGUGCCCAUAUUGUCAGUCAAAUGCCGACAAAGGAAAGGGGCCACUAUGAGUGGUUUAGACUUGGAUUGGAUUUGUCCUUAUUGGAUUGUCCUUAAGUCCUUUGAAAAAGAAGUAUACAACAGAAUGAAAUCUUGACUCAGCUUUCAAGAAUAAAGAGGGUGAGAUGACUGAUGGAUGGCUAGCAAAAUCAGAUGUGGGCUCUGUCCUCAUGGAGCAUACAGUCAGAAGGGGAAGAUUUACCUAAUUACACUAACAAACUUAUAACUGUGGUCAGUGUUCUGAAGGAAAGGAAAUCCAGUUGUAUGGUAACGUAUAACAAAGAAACUGAACUAGGAUGGAGAUGGGGGUGGUAAGUGUAGUUGGGGAAGCCAGGGACAUGAUCUGUAAGAUGGCUGGCCUGGAUUCAAAUUCCACUCCACUUACUUGCUGUGUGAUUUUAGAUUAGUCGCUUCUCCUCUCUGAGCUCAACUUCAUCUAUAACAAUCUUUCCUAGGGUUGUUAAAGGAUUGAAUGAGCCACUCUAUGUAACCACUUGACACAUAUUAGGCACUUCAGUGGCUCCUUUUCCAGAUUAAAGAAGGAGAAAACGUGUAUGUUUGGAGUUAGCACAAGACAGGAUGAUUCCUCAUGUUUGUUUUGGAAAACAAGUCUUAAACUCACAGCCAUGACAGAGUCUGACAUCAUCAGACAUCAGGCGUGUUAAGAAUUGCACUCUUAAUUGAAAAUGUCCAGAGUUUGUGAUUAAUUGCAAUCCUUUUCAGAUCCUUUCCCUAAGAAUUUAAUUUUUCUCCCCACCCACCCGGAGGUCAGGCUUUUAAUGUAACAAGUACAAUCAAUCUUCCACUGAAGAUGGCCUCUCUCUAGUGCAAGCUGGAGCAGGACUCAUCUGGAUUAGAAGCCUAGACGGUUUGGAGUCACCUGGUGAGGUUUACGUGCACAGCUGGGGCCCAGCCUACCUAAUUAGGACCAGAGAGUGGUUGAGAAGGGGACCGGCGCGUAUUCUAGGCGCCCUCCUCCAGUGUCUGUUUCUAAUAAUGGCAGAAAGUAGCAGAGGCGGCGGGGUGAGCUUGGAGCGUGGUGACAUCAUCCCUCCAGCUGUUUUACACAUCUGUGACAUGGCUCAUUAGGACUCUCUUAACACCUCAUCCUUCCCUGCUCCACACAGCUCCAGUUGCAUGAGAAAAGGUGCUCUUGCAUGUGAGGGGCCCCAAGACUGGGGCUGACUUCAGGGUCAAAGAUUCGCUUGGGCACUCUACCAGUCAUCAGAAUUUUCACAGAGACACCCCCCCAACACACACACCCGCAGCAUGCGCUCCUUGAAAGUGCUAAUAGCUUCAAUAUGAGGCUGGCACUUCUGCAUGACUGUUGGUGUUCAGGGCCAGCCUAGUCUUGGGGAGUAGGCCAUCUGUAGCAGCUGCAGAAAUGUUUUUGCUUAUUUUGAGCAUUCUAAGUUUUUCCUAGCCAUGAAUAACAACAAUCGAAUAAAUCAUCCCACAGUGUGUAGGAUGGUCGUUUUUUUGUUUUUUUUUUUCAGCAAGAACAACAAAAAAUGACAUAUCAUGUACUAUGGAUAAUACACAUAAAAAAUUCCGCCAUAUUUAUAGGCAGCAGUUAACUAACUAUAUUUAGAUAUUUGAAACUGUCUUAAAUCAGAUGAAUGAUAAAAGCUUCCUGGAUUUCAGUGGAAAGCCUAAAUGACUAAACCAAAAAAAAAAAAAAAAGUUUUAUUACUAUGAAGUAUAGUGCAUAUUCUGAAAUAAAAGAUAUGUGAUAUUUAUAAAAUAAAAAGAGAAACUUUGUCAAUAGACAGCAUCAUUUAAUAAAGCAGGGUCCCAGAUUUACAGACCUUUGUUUGAGUUCUAAAAUUUACUAGGAAGGAGGGUGCAGGGGUGGAAGCCGUUCAUUGUAGCUCUUUAAAUUUCCUCACUUUUGAAUGGAGAUGAUAAAAUGCCCCUCACAGGGUUUUUGAGAGGACUAAAAAUAUAAGGUAUGGAAAGUGUUUAGCAUUGUGCCUAUCACAAAGUUAGUGCUUGAAUAUAUUAGCUAUUGUCAUUAAUACUAUUGCUAUUCUUAUUUCUUCUACAACUGUUAUUGUUGAAAUGCGAAGUCAAAAUGGUACAUUUUUAUCAACUAUUAAGUGCUAUCAUGUUUCAAUUAAUACAUAAUGUUAUUGAUUAGAAGAUGAUUAUAGUAUUGUCUCUAAGGAAGAAAAAAGGCUGCCUGUUAAACCAUGGUUUAACAAAUUCUGGAGUACGGGCGCAGUGGCUCAUGCCUGUAAGCCCAGAACUUUGGGAGGCCGAGGCUCACGAGGUCAGGAGUUGGAGACCAGCCUGACCAACGUGGUGAAACCCCAUCUCUACUAAAAAUGCAAAAAUUAGCCUGGCGUGGUGGCGCACGCCUGUAAUCCCAGGUACUCAGGAGGCUGAGGCAGGAGAAUUGCUUAAACCCAGUAGGCGGAGGUUGCAGUGAGCCGAGAUUGUGCCACUGCACUCCAGCCUGGGCGACAGCGACAGAGCAAGACUCCGUCCGCCCCCCCUCCCGCCCCCACCCUAAAAAAAGAAUCAAAUUCUGGAAAGCAUCAAUCAUCUCUCAGGCCUUUGAAAAUGAUCUAAUUUUGUAGAUCAAACCCUCUGUGCUUGCAGGUAGGCUCACGAAUGCAGAAAGUGCAUGCUGUGAGCCAUGCUGUACACCUCCUCAUUGUCCAUUUCUCUUCUGGUAUCUCUCAAGGUGUGUGGUCAGGUUAAGAGAUUGAGACUUAAGCCAGGCAGGUGUUACUUCCUCUCACCAUGACAAAACCUGGGACAAUGAGAAGAGGAUAGAUUCUUUCCUCCCGAGGGUGCUGAGGCAGGAUCAGAAUCUCUCCCUCGGGUCUGAAACAGAUCAUAUAGAAGGUUCAAAGCUGCAAGAACCAUUCUGAAACCAUAAGAAUCCUGAGAACGAAGCCCACCUCAUGCUAAUUGUGGAGACCAAGCUUAUUUGAGUUUACUUGAGCCCUUGGAUCCAGCCGUGCCUGAAGACUUUUUAAUAACA
rnacentral:lncRNA from 1 species